rnacentral:misc_RNA from 1 species
UUUCCGUAGGUGAACCUGCGGAAGGAUCAUUACUGAGUUAGGGAGGUUAUGGCCCGACCUCCAACCCUUUGUUUAAAUCACCAUGUUGCUUUGGCAUGCCCGCCUAGAAAUGGGCCGCCGGAGACUUUUCGGAGGCCGGUCAGUGGCUGCCAGAAGCCUUUCUAAAUUCAUUUAUAACCGUGUCCGAAUAUACAUAGAAAAAAAAAAAUAAAACUUUCAACAACGGAUCUCUUGGUUCUC